AUUGAACGCUGGCGGCAUGCUUUACACAUGCAAGUCGAACGGUAACAGGCCGCAAGGUGCUGACGAGUGGCGAACGGGUGAGUAAUGCAUCGGAACGUGCCCAGUCGUGGGGGAUAACUACUCGAAAGAGUAGCUAAUACCGCAUACGAUCUAUGGAUGAAAGCGGGGGACCGUAGGGCCUGGGCGAUUGGAGCGGGCCUAUGUCAGAUUAGGUAGUUGGUGGGGUAAAGGCUCACCAAGCCAACGAUCUGUAGCUGGUCUGAGAGGACGACCAGCCACACUGGGACUGAGACACGGCCCAGACUCCUACGGGAGGCAGCAGUGGGGAAUUUUGGACACUGGGCGCAAGCCUGAUCCAGCAAUGCCGCGUGCAGGAAGAAGGCCUUCGGGUUGUAAACUGCUUUUGUACGGAACGAAACGGCUCUGGUUAAUACCCGGGGCUAAUGACGGUACCGUAAGAACAAGCACCGGCUAACUACGUG
rnacentral:rRNA from 1 species